AGCACGUGGGGAAUACGUCACUGUUGAAAAACAAAAACAAAUCUUCCUCCUGCAGCAUCUGUGUCGUUUCGGUCUCUGUCUGUUCGUCGUGUUUCCCGCGUUUUAAAACCCCUCCGCGUCGCCUGGAGUCCACGUGUUCAUGGUCGUGCUGAGGGAGCUGAAGCUGUUGCGUUAGUGUACCGGUAACUUCCCGGUGACGGUAGUUUAGCAGCCAUGGCAACGCAGAGAGGAGUCAACAGCCUGCAGUUCAACCAGGACCAGAGCUGUUUCUGCUGCGCGAUGGAGACCGGCGUCAGGAUCUACAACGUGGAGCCCCUGAUGGAGAAAGGCCACCUGGGUGAGAGUGCUGCACCGUCCGGGGUCA